UUACAAAGGACCCUAAAACCCAAACUGGAAUGACAAGUAAAUCAGUAGGAUUCGUAUCUUUGAUCCUAAACAGUUUUUAAUUGAGGUAGAAUUGAUGAUCAUCAUUACCACCACCACCACCACAACAACAACAACAUACCCAGCAAAAUCCCACUUGACCUUACCCCUACCUCAUCUCGUGGAGGUAGAGAGGUUGUUUCCAAAGGACCCUAAAAUCCAAACUGGAAUGACGAGGCUGUUUACAAAGGACCCUAAAACCCAAACUGGAAUGACAAGUAAAUCAGUAGGAAUCGUAUCUUUGAUCCUAAACAGUUUUUAAUUGAGGUAGAGUUGAUGAUCAUCAUUACCACCAGCAUAACAACAAUACUAAUCUCCUAACAGCAAGCAGCUCAAUAUCAAUGGUAAAAGCAAAAAUAAACAUGAAACGAAGGAAUCAACCAUAAGAUUAAGCUAAUACAAAACGAGAAACACACAAACACAUCAACUGAAACCCUAGAAAAACUACAUCAUUGCAGCAAUUGAAAACAUUGAUGAACCC